AAUCAUCUUCAGGGCGGGGUGCGAUUCCCCACUGGCGGUAAAGUCCGCGACCUGCGAGAGCAGCUGAACCGGUGCGACUCCGGUACCAACAGUAUAGUCUGGACGGAAGAAGAGUUCA
rnacentral:ncRNA from 2 species